rnacentral:rRNA from 1 species
UACGAAGGGGGCUAGCGUUGCUCGGAAUCACUGGGCGUAAAGGGCGCGUAGGCGGCCAUUCAAGUCGGGGGGGUGAAAGCCUGUGGCUCAACCACAGAAUUGCCUUCGAUACUGUUUGGCUUGAGUAUGGUAGAGGUUGGUGGAACUGCGAGUGUAGAGGUGAAAUUCGUAGAUAUUCGCAAGAACACCGGUGGCGAAGGCGGCCAACUGGACCAUUACUGACGCUGAGGCGCGAAAGCGUGGGAGCAAACAGG